UACGAAGGGGGCUAGCGUUGCUCGGAAUGACUGGGCGUAAAGGGCGCGUAGGCGGAUGGCACAGUCAGAUGUGAAAUUCCCGGGCUUAACCUGGGGGCUGCAUUUGAUACGUGUUGUCUUGAGUUCGGAAGAGGGUCGUGGAAUUCCCAGUGUAGAGGUGAAAUUCGUAGAUAUUGGGAAGAACACCGGUGGCGAAGGCGGCGACCUGGUCCGACACUGACGCUGAGGCGCCGAAAGCGUGGGGAGCAAACAGG
rnacentral:rRNA from 1 species